rnacentral:rRNA from 1 species
GGUCUAAUACCGGAUAUGACCAAGGAUUGCAUGGUUCUUGGUGGAAAGCUUUUGCGGUUGGGGAUGGGCCCGCGGCCUAUCAGCUUGUUGGUGGGGUAAUGGCCUACCAAGGCGACGACGGGUAGCCGACCUGAGAGGGUGAUCGGCCACACUGGGACUGAGACACGGCCCAGACUCCUACGGGAGGCAGCAGUGGGGAAUAUUGCACAAUGGGCGCAAGCCUGAUGCAGCGACGCCGCGUGAGGGAUGACGGCCUUCGGGUUGUAAACCUCUUUCAGCAGGGACGAAGCGCGAGUGACGGUACCUGCAGAAGAAGCACCGGCCAACUACGUGCCAGCAGCCGCGGUAAUACGUAGGGUGCGAGCGUUGUCCGGAAUUACUGGGCGUAAAGAGCUCGUAGGCGGUUUGUCGCGUCGUCUGUGAAAUUCUGCAGCUUAACUGCAGGCGUGCAGGCGAUACGGGCAGACUUGAGUACUACAGGGGGAGACUGGAAUUCCUGGUGUAGCGGUGAAAUGCGCAGAUAUCAGGAGGAACACCGGUGGCGAAGGCGGGGUCUCUGGGUAGUAACUGACGCUGAGGGAGCGAAAGGCGUUGGGUAGCGAACAGGAUUAGAUACCCUGG